rnacentral:rRNA from 1 species
GUGCCAGCAGCUGCGGUAAUACGUAGGGUGCGAGCGUUGUCCGGAAUUAUUGGGCGUAAAGAGCUCGUAGGCGGCUUGUCGCGUCGGAUGUGAAAGCCCGGGGCUUAACUCCGGGUCUGCAUUCGAUACGGGCAGGCUAGAGUUCGGUAGGGGAGAUCGGAAUUCCUGGUGUAGCGGUGAAAUGCGCAGAUAUCAGGAGGAACACCGGUGGCGAAGGCGGAUCUCUGGGCCGAUACUGACGCUGAGGAGCGAAAGCGUGGGAGCGAACAGGAUUAGAUACCCUGGUAGUCCACGCCGUAAACGUUGGGAACUAGGUGUGGCGACAUUCCACGUUGUCCGUGCCGUAGCUAACGCAUUAAG